GCCUGUGUGGCUCAGUUGGUUGAGCGUCCAACUUCAGCUCAGGUCAUGAUCUCACAGUCCGUGGGUUCAAGCCCCACGUCAGGCU
rnacentral:tRNA from 1 species